rnacentral:rRNA from 1 species
AAUGGGGGAAACCCUGAUGCAGCCAUGCCGCGUGUGUGAAGAAGGCCUUCGGGUUGUAAAGCACUUUCAGUUGUGAGGAAAGGAUAGUAGUUAAUACCUGCUAUCUGUGACGUUAGCAACAGAAGAAGCACCGGCUAACUCCGUGCCAGCAGCCGCGGUAAUACGGAGGGUGCGAGCGUUAAUCGGAAUUACUGGGCGUAAAGCGCACGCAGGCGGUUUGUUAAGCUAGAUGUGAAAGCCCCGCGCUCAACGUGGGAUGGUCAUUUAGAACUGGCAGACUAGAGUCUUGGAGAGGGGAGUGGAAUUUCUGGUGUAGCGGUGAAAUGCGUAGAUAUCAGAAGGAACAUCAGUGGCGAAGGCGACUCCCUGGCCAAAGACUGACGCUCAUGUGCGAAAGUGUGGGUAGCGAACAGGAUU